rnacentral:lncRNA from 1 species
UGCCGUUUGAGCGUGUAUUCGUCGUCGUGGUGCUGCGAGGAGGCCGGGCGAGCGUGAAUUUUCGCCCUUCUCGACGUCGCUCCGUAGCUAGAGUCGCUGUCGAGGUGGGUAUCCAACAUUCCUCCAGUUAUUGCAUGACCUCUCUACUUCGAGCUCGUGUGCUGAUUUCUGUAAAAUUCCAGCAUCGACCGUUGGCGUUUCGGCUCGUGUGCGAUGUAGGAGCGUCGGAUUGCAGCGAGACUUGGUUCGUUGGAUUCAAAACUUCGAGAGGAAUCCACGAAUCCCAAGAUUUUUGAAUUUGGUGAAGGUUAUCUUGGUCGAACUCCAAUUCUUCUCUGCUGCUGUUGCAUUGAGCAGAUUUUCGAGUUUUUGAGUUUCUCUUGGUGCAAUUCUUUGAAGGGUCUGGAUUUGGAGCUGAGCUUGAUACUCCAGUUUAAUACUCUGGUAUUGGAUUUUUUAACUCAACCAAAUUGGAGUUUACAAGGUAAAGUUUGCAUUUCCAAUUUGGUUAAAUUAAGCUUAAGUGCUG